rnacentral:lncRNA from 1 species
CAAAACUGUUAAACAGGUGUAACCUCUUCUAGAGGUACCAGGUAAAAUAGGGGAUGCUUAGUUAAAUAUGAAUUGGGAAUGAGUAAUUUUUAUAUAACUAUGUUCCAUGAAAUAAUUUGGACAUGUGCUAACAAUCAUUUGUGUUUUCCAGGCUCAGUGGCACACAUCUGUAAUCCCAAAGAUUUGGGAGGCUGAGGCUGGAGGAUUGGCCAACCUGGGCAAUUUAAUGAGACCCUGUCUCAAAAAAGAAAACAAGAAAGGCUGGAGAUGUAGUUCAGUGGUAAAGUAUCCUGGGUUCAAUGCCCAAUAUUGAAAAAAAACUUAUUUUUGUUUGUCUCAAAUAUUUGUAUUUACUAAAUUUGGUCACCCUUUGCCAUAACAUUCAGCCUCUCUGAUUUAGCAGAAUGAGACUGUCUGGUGUGUUCCAAAAUGACUUAGGCUGAGAGUUUAGCAUGCACAUGCUACUCCAUGGGACAGGGCUCUGAAUAUUUGACAGACUUGAUGGAAGUUGGGAAAAUCCUGACUCCACUCUUUUUUUUUUUCACUAAUUAUUUUUUAGUUGGACACAAUACCUUUACUUUAUUCAUUUUUACCUGGUGCUGAGGAUGGAACCCAGGGGCCUCUGACAUGCUAGGCAAGCGCUGUAUUGCUGAGCAAUAACCCUACUAGCCCCCUGACUCUGCUCUGGAGUGGUAUGGUCAAAACAUACCCUUGGAGCUCCCCCUCCUGGCAGGAAGAGUAACUGAGCAUCCUUUUAUUUUACUCUGCCAGAUAGACUCACCCCAUUCACUCAUCCCUACUGGUAGUGCUUGGUCUCCAGGAGCCAGACCCGCACCAGGUCACCACUGUCCUUUCCCCUAAUACGUCCCCUAAACAGUUGCAACCUAUUGGAGCCAGAAAUUGCCUCAGGACUCAUCACUUUGAUCUCAAAAAUGAAUUGCCCUACCACCAGAGCACCUCACUUUAAAUGAGAUGUAUUGUACAUUGUAUGGCAUUUGGAGGGUGGUUCCUGACAGACAGAGGGAAGGAUCUGGGUUGGAGUCUAAAGAGAUGCUAGCUUACUGUUGGUAGAGAGACCCUCUGCCUCUGAAGAAAGAAGCUGCUCUGAAAAAGAAGUUACAGAGUGCUCCUGAGUUCAAUCCCUGGUACCAAAACAAAACAAAAACAAAAACAAAAAAAAAUGAAUGGGUCUGGUGCAGGCUUUGGGUGGUGAGCAGGGUCAGAAGAGAAUGAGAGUGAGAGACAACAAGGUUUAUGGCUUUGACUUAGAGGCAUAGAAAAAUUUCUGGAUGUCUUUGGUAGACAUGGGGCACAAGGCAUUGUGGGCCCUGGUAUUCAUGCACUAGUAGAUAUUUCUCUUCUUGAUUGUUUGUCUCAAAUAUUUUUGUUUGUCUCAAAUAUUUUUAUUUGCUAAAUAAAUUUAUGAAAUAUAUAUAUAUAUAUAUAUUUAUUUUGAGGUGCUGGAUAUGGAACUCAGUGCCUCAUGUAUGCUGGACAAACACUCUACCACUAAGCUUUUUCAGUCCAGCUUUUCUCCUUCUCUUCCUCCUCCUCCUCUUCACCCUCCUCCUUCUCCUCUUCCUCCUCUUCUUCUCCCCCCCCUUUUUUUUUGGUACCAGGGAUUGAACUCAGGGGCACUUGGCCACUGACCCACAUCCCCAGCCCUAUUUUGUAUUUUACUUAGAGACAGGGUCUCACUGAGUUGCUUAGCACCUCAUUUUUGCUGAGGCUGGCUUUGAACUCUCUAUCCUCCUGUCUCAGCCUCUGAGCUGCUGAGAUUACAGGUGUGCUCCACCACACCAGGCCAGACCCAUUCAUUUUGUAGGGGAGCACCCUGCAACUUCUUUCUUCAGAACAGCUUCUUUCUUCUUGUUUUAGAUGUUUAAAAUUCAAACAAGAAUGUGUACGAGGAGGGAAAUUGUAGAUAACAGAAAGCCAUUUGGAUUAGUUUAAUCAAAAAACAGAGGGACAACCAGGUGUGGUGGUACACAACUGUAAUUCCAGCAACUUGUGAUGCUGUGAGGCAGGAGGAUCAAAAAUUUGAGGCCAGUUUCAGCAACUUAAUGAGACCCUGUCUCAAAAUAAAAAUUAAAAGGGCUGGGGAUGUAGCUCAGUGGUAAAGCCCCUCUGGGUUCAAUCCCUGGUACCAAAAAACCCAAACAAAACAAAAAACAGUACUAAAAACCAAAACCAAAACAACAGAUAGCUGGGCAUGGUGGCAUAUGCCUCUAAUCCCAGCGACUCCAGAGGCUGGGAGGAGCUCAAAGUAGGAGGCAGGAGGAUCACAAGUUUGAGGCCAGCCUCAGCAACUGAGCAAGGCCCUGUCUCAUAAUAAAAAAUAAAAAGGGAUGGGGAUGUACCUCAGUGGCCCAAGUGUCCCUGGGUUCAAU